GUUCAAAAGAGGAAUGGCUUGCGGUGGAUACCUAGGCACCCAGAGACGAGGAAGGGCGUAGCAAGCGACGAAAUGCUUCGGGGAGUUGAAAAUAAGCAUAGAUCCGGAGAUUCCCAAAUAGGUCAACCUUUUAAACUGCCUGCUGAAUCCAUGAGCAGGCAAG
rnacentral:ncRNA from 1 species